UACGAAGGACCCAAGCGUUAUCCGGAUUUAUUGGGUUUAAAGGGUGCGUAGGCGGAUUAUUAAGUCAGUGGUGAAAGCCUGCAGCUUAACUGCAGAACUGCCAUUGAUACUGAUGAUCUUGAGUAUGAUUGAGGUGGGCGGAAUGUGUCAUGUAGCGGUGAAAUGCUUAGAUAUGACGCAGAACACCGAUUGCGAAGGCAGCUCACUAAGCCAUAACUGACGCUGAUGCGCGAAAGCGUGGGGAGCAAACAGG
rnacentral:rRNA from 1 species